rnacentral:rRNA from 1 species
GCUUCCCUACGGGGCGCAGCAGUGGGGAAUAUUGCACAAUGGGGGGAACCCUGAUGCAGCGACGCCGCGUGGGCGAUGGAGUAUUUCGGUAUGUAAAGCCCUAUCGGCAGGGAAGAAAAUGACAGUACCUGACUAAGAAGCCCCGGCUAACUACGUGCCAGCAGCCGCGGUAAUACGUAGGGGGCAAGCGUUAUCCGGAUUCACUGGGCGUAAAGGGAGCGCAGGCGGCACGGCAAGCCUGGUGUGAAAACCCGGGGCCCAACCCCGGGCCUGCAUUGGAAACUGGCGGGCUGGAGUGGCGGGAG